UUUAAGGUCUAACCUGCCCAAUGAGGAUUUAAAUGGCCGCAGUAUUUUGACUGUGCAAAGGUAGCAUAAUUAUUAGUUUUUUAAUUGAAAGCUUGUAUGAAGGGUUGGACGAGAUGAAAUCUGUCUUUAUUUAAAUUAAAAUAUAAUUUAACUUUUAAGUAAAAAGGCUUAAAUGUUUAUAAAAGACGAGAAGACCCUAUAGAUCUUUAUUUAAUUGAAAUUUUAAUAAUUUAGGAUUAUUUUAAUUUAAAGUUUUAAUUAAAUUUUAUUGGGGUAAUAUAAAGAUUAAAUAAAUUCUUUUUAUUUAUGACAUUGAUUUAUGAAUAUAUGAUCCAUUAAUAUUGAUUAUAAGAUUAAGUUACCUUAGGGAUAACAGCGUAAUUUUUUUGGAGAGCUCAUAUCGAUAAAAAAGUUUGCGACCUCGAUGUUGGAUUAAAAAUUAGCUUGGGUGCAGAAGCUCAAGAUUUUGGUCUGUUCGACCAUUAAAUUUUUACAUGAUCUGAGUUCAGACCGGCGUGAGCCAGGUCGGUUUCUAUCUUUAUUAAGAUAAAAUGUUUUAGUACGAAAGGACCAAAUAUUUAAUAUGAUUAUAUUUAUUUUUUGAAGAAUAUU
rnacentral:rRNA from 1 species